GGAAGAUCGUUACCCUUCGUACGCGGGGCACAUUCAUACAGUCAAAAUAAAACUUGAACGAAACAAAGUACAGUCUUGCUUUUGUAUGUGCGCAUGAGUCGAGGUACCAACUAUACAUCAACGUAGUUUCGUGAAAUUCGCACCGAUGAGAGUGAAGUUACAGGCAUGGACGUGUUUUCGCGCUCGUUAGUGGGGUACAUUCGGACAGCACUAGAUGGGGCACAUUUAAACGAAUUGUACAACUAAAUUUGUAUAAAAAUUUGUCGACGCGAACUGUCAUUUUCAUACAAAUUAAGUUUUCGACUUUCUACAUAUUACACUACUGUUAAGGCAUCUUGACUAAGGUUGAUUUUGAUGCUUGUGAACCAGAUGUUGUGAAUAAUUUACCAAUCCAUCCAUGUGAUUCUAAAUUUAAGUUACCUAACUAAUUAAAUUUUGUUUUACAUAAGAAAAGUAUUUUAUUUUUGUUUAAUAGAAGUUAAAUCUUUA